AACCGUGCGAAGGUAGCACAAUCACUUGUUUUCUAAAUAAGGACUAGUAUGAAUGGCGCCACGAAGACUAUACUGUCUCCUCUCUGCAAUCAGUGAAACUGAUCCCCCCGUGAAAAAGCGGGAAUUACAUUAUAAGACGAGAAGACCCCAUGGAGCUUUAAGUAAAUAACAACUGUCAUACCAAUACCACAAAAAUUUUGACAGACCUGAUUAUUAACUUUCGGUUGGGGUGACCACGGAGUAAAACAAAACCUCCGCAAUGAACGAGUCCAGCUCUAAUUUAAGAACUACACCUCCAAAAAUCAUUACAUUGACAUUUAUUGACCCAAACCCUUGAUCAAUGGACCAAGUUACCCUGGGGAUAACAGCGCAAUCCAUUUCUAGAGCCCCUAUCAACAAAUGGGUUUACGACCUCGAUGUUGGAUCAGGGUGUCCUAGUAGUGCAGCCGCUACUGAAGGUUUGUUUGUUCAACAAUUAAAACCCUACGUGAUCUGAGU
rnacentral:rRNA from 1 species